UUCGGGUUUCCGAAUCUUUUCUCAAUAUUCCUGUGAAAAUCAACUCAUUGUGAAACUGUUACGAUAUACUGCGAAGUACAAUAACCGCGUUCCAUCUGCACAAACCCGACGGACGACCAUGCCCUCCAGGAAAAGGUCGUGAUAUACGAGGGUGGGGCGACCUUGCCCCCUUCUGUCGGCCGUCUCCUCCGUCAGACGGAUCCCGGCCUUCCUCGUCCUCCCGGUGCCCUCGUGCCCUCGCGCCCUCACUGAUGACUCCAUCAGUGCCACCUUCUGAGCCUUCCUCCCUCUGCUUCCGAGCCCCUCCCCUCCUUCUGGGCCCCCUCCCUCGGGGUUCCUUCGGGACUCCUUCGGGACAGGCCGUGAUUACCUCCUCGGCCUCGCGCGGAUGAUAAAGCGAUGGGCGAUAACGUGGCGACGGGCGAUCGCGGCGAAGACAAGUGCUUCGACGCCUCAGGCCCCUUCCCCGCCCCCUCCCCCUUCCCAGGCCUCCCCCGAAGGGCCUGUGAUCGCAUCGAUAAUUGUCGCGUCGGAGUUUUAUUACGCCGUUGACGCGCGUCAUGCAGGGCUUAAUUGAUGCGAAAUGCGUGGGAGUGGCAGGAGAUGUCAACGGUAGCGGGAUCAGAGAUGGCGGUUGGUGGUGCGAGAGAGUAGCGGCGGCGGGAGCGAGAUGUCCGGGCCCGUGGGUGAGCUGGGCACCCGGUAACCUCCCCGGCUCCCGUGCCCUCCCCCUGCUUCCCCUCCCCCCUGCCGUCGAGCAGCUCACGCGGCCACAGCUCACCACCAACCACUCGCCCGCUGCACCUGGUGGCGAACACACGCUCCGCCCCACCCGCGCCCACCCUCACUCGCGUGCGAUCACUCCAACACAACAGGAGCCGUGUUGCAGCGCCGGCCGGCCUCCUGCGUGCUGACCGCGCGAUUCCCCUCGACGGACGAAGCACGACCUCCCUCACGUGCAGCACCGAAGCCGACGACGUGCUUUGGAAGGCUUAAAUAAAGUGAGAAAGUUCGUGUGGUCGUCCCGCGCCAGACACGUGUGCAUGCGUGCAGGCCGCAACUCUCGUGGCUGAGGUGGUGUUGCCAGUCUUGACAGGCGGGCAGUCCCUCGCCCUCCGCCCACCGACGCCAGCAAACAGCGCGGGGAUAAGUGAUGUUGUUGGACACGGACGCCGUCUUAGUGGCGUUCGAGAAGUGACAUGUGUUCCCAAACCGGCGUCCGUGAUGUCUGUCGCAGCCGCUUAGUGCUGAGUACAUAAUCCAGCGUAUCACGCGUGACAUUGCAAAGCUUGCAAUCGCGCAAUCUCACCUUUGAAAAGAAGUGAUAGAGAAAAAGAAGAAAAAAGUUGUAAGCGUAUAAGGAUCCGGAGGACCGUCCUGCAGGGAGGAGGAACACCAGCAGCGUAUCGCAAGCGUCGCGGUGUCAGUCAGCGAGAGGUUGUCGAGCGUGUAUUAUGACAGCAGUUCUGAGAGUGUGCAACCUUGUGGCUGCGACACCCACGUCCAGGGACCUCCUCUCAGCGCCGCCUUCGCGAGCAAACAAAUAACAGGCCACGGCAGCCGACGCACAAUGUAGAGAGAGUAGUGCGAGUGAGAGGAGCCAGUGAUCGCUGCGCUAUUUAGACCCGAGAAGGACUUCGGAAGAGGAGAGCCGGAAUCGCGACCUCGUCCUGCGGUGCCCAGCCGUGUGUCUUUCAGUGUAAAUUGUUUGUAGCUGAGAAAAUAAAGACGUGACAACGUUGUUUAGGCUAACUCUUUCGUGUUAUCUGGUGAUCGUAGACCAAAGUGACUUUCGCACUGUAGCUGAAAACUGAUAUUCGAGCCGAAGAAUUUGGUGAUACAUUAACAGAAGGGUAAACAAAAAAUCGGAAGGCCAAAAUCUAAUAAUAAUCCAGAGACAUCUCAAGGGUCGAAAGUGUUUUGCGGCCCAGACGAAAAAGGCCUCACGGGCACCGCUGUGCGUUGUGGCGGAGGAAACUGCUCCCACUCCAGCGUCGACGGUGAAAGGCGCCUCUCGAGUGCCAGUGUGACCCGAGCUGAUGAAAAGGCAGGGGAGAGCAGGUCAAGUGUGAGCCGCCAGCGUCAGAGCAGAGAGAACGUCAAGGCGGAAGUGUGAAUAAUUUAAAGAACAGGAAAGCUGUGAAGAUCAGAGAUUCCCUGAGACGAACCUUGAUUAUUUAACGUGUGACAGAGGAAGGGUUGCGAAGGUUUCUUGUCGCCUCUGAAUAACUCAAGGGGCAAAUAUUUUCCCUUUUUUUCGUCCCGAAGGCGAAAAAAAUAAGAGAAUUCAUUUCUCUUUUUUCUCGACAAGUGAUUACUCUGUGAGUACUGAUACUUAUAUAUAUAUAUCAGUGCAUAUCAUAUGAAAAGUACGAAAAAAUUGGAAAGAACCUUUUGUCAUUUCUUGAUCUCCGUUGGAAUUUCAGGUCAAAGCUAGUUUGAAAGACGGUUUAAUCUUUUUAGAUAAUUCUCUUAUCAUAUGCUUUUUAGCACGAAAAAUAUUGUCUUUGAUAAUAAGAAAAUAAAAAAAGAAAAAGUAAUGUUCUGUUUUCUGUGAGCUUUGAAAGUGUUUGGUAAUUAAUAAGUGGAAUAUUACACACACCUAAUUAAAGUGUCAAGAAGAAAAUAAAACAAGAGAGAAAAAAAAUAAUUAAAAAAGACAUAAGAAAAGUAAAGAAGAGAGGGAGCGUCUUGAUUACGUCAUCGUCUUAUCAAGGUACGUCUUCUAGAGCAACCGUGAGGCAAACAGCGUCAUUCUAAGGCAGGUGAAAGUGAAGAUUGUGUUUACUAGUUUAGUUUCCUUGUCGAUGUGUGGGCGUUGCUGGAUAGGUGUUGUUAAAGGAAA
rnacentral:lncRNA from 1 species